rnacentral:rRNA from 1 species
GAGGAAUAUUGGUCAAUGGACGCAAGUCUGAACCAGCCACGUCGCGUGAAGGAAGACGGCCCUACGGGUUGUAAACUUCUUUUAUACGGGAAUAAAGUGCCCCACGCGUGGGGUUUUGCAAGUACCGUACGAAUAAGGAUCGGCUAACUCCGUGCCAGCAGCCGCGGUAAUACGGAGGAUCCGAGCGUUAUCCGGAUUUAUUGGGUUUAAAGGGUGCUCAGGCGGGGGAUUAAGUCGGCGGUGAAAUUUUGCAGCUCAACUGUAAAAGUGCCUUCGAAACUGGUUUCCUUGAGUGCGGAUGAGGUAGGCGGAAUUUGUGGUGUAGCGGUGAAAUGCAUAGAUAUCACGAGGAACUCCGAUUGCGAAGGCGGCUUGCUGGACAAAUACUGACGCUGAGGUGCGAAAGCGUGGGGAGCAAACA